rnacentral:lncRNA from 1 species
CCAUAAUAGUUUUGUUUUGCCACGUGAUACAUAGAUCUCUAAAAGUAAUUUUCGAAUUGAGAUUGUACGUUGAAAUCGAACAUCUGAGUGAAAAGUUAUGGUCAUUUAAACAUAUUUUUUAUGUCGAUUGCAAAAUUACGAAUUCAACGGAUUUUAGCUCAGUCCGGUUGAGCUGAGGUUUUUCAAAAGCUUUAAUGCUAAAUUGGCUGCAUCACUUGACUACUCACCCCUCCUCUAAAGUGAAAUAUAAGAAUUUCUCGCUUUUAAUAAUAAUUUCACCAUUUUUUAUAUAAACAAAAUAUAAAAAGAUUUGCUAAUAUACCUUCCAAUUGUAGGCAACCUAAUAAAAUUGUAUGACACUCUAAUAAUCUCAUAUCGGAUAGUUAUGACUAAAUAUUACGCUAUUUAAGUUUGAUUAGGCUAUACAUAAUAAUUCGGCUCAAGUAUAUUGGGCAAGUGGUUUGGGCCGAACGAGUUAUUAUUGCCGACUAGUCAGGUCGUUGUAUUUGAUAUCAAAGUCAGUUCACUAUCCUAGUAGUGUUUUGCCCUCAAC